UCUAAACCUGCCUGCCUUCACUGCAGGUACUGUGCUGGGACAGACAUCUAGUACAAGGAACACCAAGUCACUAAGAUUGAAGGCAUUGAUUUUUAUUUCCAGCACCUCAAACCAUUCAGAAAUAACACAGUUCAGGCUUUCGCCUGGCCACAGCCGUGGUCAGGUUCGGGGAGCUCGUGGAAUCGCGACUGGCAGCGGCGUUGGUGAAUUCGCUCGCGGGAACUGGCGGCGGCAGGGUCUGAGGCGUCCACGGAACCUGCAGGGGAUCGCGCGACUGGACAGCGUCAGCGUUGUGCAGAGCAGCCUCCAGCAUGUCGGCCGUCUCGAUCGUCGAGCGUAAGAUAGAUCCUGAAGUACCUUUACUAGGCAGAGUGGUUAUUGGUGAGGAUGGUCCUGCACAAUCGACCUUGGAUUUACCUUUUCACCUGAAGCAGCAGUGUUCGGACCUUCAGGAUUGCUGUCCCUUCAAGACUAGAAACCUGCUCUCUGCAGUGAGGAGGCAGUUGUGCAACCCCUCACACUGCUGGGAAUGACACAAAUAAAUCAUUGGCAGCCUAAUUUAGCCUCAUGUCUUUCUCCAUUUGAUCAUCCCUCAUUCUUUCAUUGUUAUUGUUGGCGAAGACACUGCUUCCUCCUGGACUGGAACUGGCUGGCCAAUAGACCAUAUCUGAUAAUCAAACAUUGUGAUAGCACUGUUGCAACUGUCUGUGGCUGAUUUCGUGUACAUAUUUUAUAGCUAACUCACGGUGUUUUUCUGGGGAAAUUUAUCAAGAAGCGUUGCAGCAGGUUUACUCAUCAAUUCUGUUCCCUCCCUUAUUUAAUUGUUGUUUAUCCUGCCUUACCACCUACUCACUGACUGACACAGCAUCAUUAAUAACACCAUAUUUGUUACUCUGCGGGUUCUUUCGCUACUGGAGAGGGAAGGGCUGGGUUAGGUGAGGAAGCCUUUCAGUUACUGCAGUAAUGAACUACCCCAGGCGCCACGCGAGAGACAGCAGAGCUCAACAGUGUGUGUGAAUGCGAUAGAACAAUAUGGAAAGAAUUGACUAUGAAUGUAAAGAAUGAAAAGGAAUUGCACAGUUUAUUCAUGUAAAUAAUUUUUAUUAUGAAUAAAGUUUACUUUG